UUCUCUUCGCAUCCCUGGGUGGAAGAAGGUGGAAGAAGAUAAAUAUAUUGUUGAAAAUUCGACGAUUGUUUUCCACGGCGAAUUGCACCGGUACUCACCGCUGGAAUUUUGAGAUUUUCUAUGGAUUUCGAGGCGACGACAAUGGCCACGGAGAUGGGAUGUGGACGGGAUGGGAUGUGCUCUUGCGCCAAGAUUCUUUCAUCAAGUUCAUCCGGAAGGUCACGGGUCUACUCUGCUAGGCUUUUUACUGCGUGGGACACGCACCGGCUAUCUUGAAUCGAUCUGCGAAUUGGAUCGGUUCGCACCUGUUUUGGAGACAUAAAGACAAUCGAGGCCCCCCCAUGCUAAUCAGCACUCUUGAUUAGGGAUUUAAUGGGACCAACCGAGCCCUUGCAGAGCACACGGGAUCAAAGGAUUCGGUUUUUUUCUGCCGAUGAUUGUCAUAUCCGGAAGAUCUUACAGCCAGUUACCUGAUCCUAUUUACACCGUUGAUCAGCCACCGGGAGAACAAUGAAGUUUUCUGUUGAUGAUUGUCAUAUCCGGAAGAUCUUACAACCAGUUACCUGUUUCUGCAUACACCGUCGAUCAGCUACUGGGAGAAUACCAUCAAUGGAGUUUUCUGCCGUUUAUUGUCAUAUCCGGAAGAUCUUACAACCAGUUACCUAUUUCUACUUACAUCGCUGAUCAACUACUGGGAGAAUACCAUCAAUGCAGUUUUCUGCUGAUGAUUGUCAUACCCGGAAGAUCUUACAACCAGUUACCUGUUUCUGCAUACACCGUCGAUCAGCUACUGGGAGAAUACCAUCAAUGCAGUUUUCUACCGAUAAUUGUCAUAUCCGGAUGAUCUUACAACCAGUUACCCGUUUUUACUUACACUGCCGAUCAACUACCGGGAGAACACCAUCAAUGGAGUUGUCUGCCGAUUAUUGUCAUAUCCAGACGAUGUGACAACCAGUUACCCGUUUCUACUUACACUGCCGAUCAGUUAUCGGGAGAACGCUAUCAAUGGAGUUUUCUGCCGAUGAUUGCCAUACCAAGAUCUUACAACCAGUUACCUGUUUCUACUUACAUCGCCGAUCAACUACCAGGAGAACAUCAUCGAUGGAGUUUCAGCAGUCUUCGAUUACGUAGUAAGUGCACUAUGGAUAUAUCCGUAUCGAAUUCGAAGACUUCUCCCUCUGGUGGGAAGUUUGCAGCAUAAAUGGGGGAGUCAGAUCCUGUCCAUGUGUUUUGAAAUCGAUUCGCAAGAUAAUAGUUGGAUAAUUAACCGUUUGACUGCUACGCGGCGCAAAAGCGCUGCGUUCAUUUGUCUCGAAAACCGCGACGCAGUGCUUUUGCGCUGCGAGUUUCAGUGUUUCUUUGUUGCUCCGCAGUUUUCGUGCGUUCUUGCAAAAAUUGCUUAGCAGUCAAACGGUUAAGAAAAACGUAUUUUUAAGACGUAGAGUUAAAACAUUGGGUUGUCCCAAAAGUUCGUGCCGGUCUUCAUAUUAUAUAGAAAAAAUUACUUAAAAACGUGAAAUUUAACAAUAUUAGUCAUUAAUAUAAUUCCCUUCGUUGUUGGCAACGUCUUCUCAACGGUUAGGCAAUUCUUCGACCCCUCGUUUGAAAAAAAAGUAAGAUGCUAAAAUGUUGAACAUUUAAACGGUACGAAUUUAUGGGUCAACCCUGUACUUUAUUUCAAAGUUAAACUUCUACAAUUGUAAUUGCGUUUUAUCAGCGUAAGUUAGGUUUGGUACUAUCGUAAGAAAAUCCUCUCUUUUAAACCUGCUAAAGAAAUCUGUUCCUUUUUCGUUAUUUGGUAGAAAUUUGAGAAACGGAGAAUUUGAUGGCGAGAGGAGACGAGGAACUAAUCGGAGCUUCACGAAUUUUAGGACAGGAAUAAAAUGGUGAAAGUUCGAGACGAUUGAAUAAUAGGGACCAAGAGAAUGUCUGGUUGAUUAUUGAGAGCACAUAACGUUUUGUAACAAAUCUGCUUAGGCACAAAGCACACAGAAACUAUUGGACAUAUGUGCCCAUAAUUAUGAAAGUGGUCUAAGUCAAAAUUAACAAAAAAAAUGAGUUUAUCAGUUAUUUCACACCAUAUUAUUUCAAACGAAAUUAAUUCAAUGUAAUUUCGAAACAAAAAGUAUAUGACUUAGACCACUUUCAUAAUUAUGGGCACAUAUCAACUGUGGCAUUCUCUCACAUUAAACACAUGGGGCGGUACUCUUACCUCACUUUUAGCGUUAAAUCAUUAAUUUUAAUCAUUUAAAUGCUAUAUAUAAUAGACCUCAUUACCGCUAAAAAUGAGGAAUGUGUAUGAGCCAUGACUUGUCUUGUUCAUGGGGUAUGAGGUAUGUGUAUGAGCCUUGGUCUUGUUCAUGGCGUUUAGCCUUGGAUUCCUAAAAUUAUUCGCGUUUACACGACGCGUUCAGUGAGACACCCUGGUCUUGUGGCGAUGCAUAUACGUUAUGCCGAACCACAGUUUGCAAAUUGAAAUUUGAGCCAUGCAAGGCAAACACUUGCUCGCCGUUUGCGAAAAAGAGGGUCUUGGUUUGCACGGGACAGAAUCGACGUUUCUUGCAAACGGAUGGCAAGAAUUCGAUCUUGUUCAAUAUGCAGUUUCGUAUAAGCAAACUGACUAUGCAGCAUGUACAUUAAACACGUGUUCGCCGUUUGCGAAAAAGAGAUUCUCGUUUUGCACGGGGUAGAAUCGACGUUUCUUGCAAACGGAUGGCAAGAAUUCGACCUUGUUCAAUAUGCAGUUUCGUAUAAGCAAACUAACUAUGCAACAUGUACAUUAAACACGUGUUCGCCGUUUGCGAAAAAGAGAUUCUCGGUUUGCACGGGGUAGAAUCGACGUUUCUUGCAAACGGAUGGCAAGAAUUCGAUCUUGUUCAAUAUGCAGUUUCGUAUAAGCAAACUGACCAUGCAGCACGUUGUACAUUAACCACG